UACAGAGGGUGCGAGCGUUGUCCGGAAUCACUGGGCGUAAAGGGCGCGUAGGCGGUCUUGCAAGUCCCGUGUGAAAUCCCUCGGCUCAACUGAGGAACUGCACGGGAAACUGCUUGGCUUGAGUUCGGGAGAGGGAAGCGGAAUUCCGGGUGUAGCGGUGAAAUGCGUAGAUAUCCGGAGGAACACCGGUGGCGAAGGCGGCUUCCUGGACCGACACUGACGCUGAGUGAGCGAAAGCCAGGGGAGCAAACGGG
rnacentral:rRNA from 1 species